rnacentral:lncRNA from 10 species
GUAGGUGUGGGGCACUCACAACGUGUCAGACACUGCGCUAGGGGGCUUGACAGGAAGGAUUUCAUUUAAUCCUCACUGCAACCUUAGGAGGCAAUUCACCAGGACAGAGGCCUUUCAACUUUCCUCCCUGAGAUCUUCCUCCGUGAACCAACAACAAAAGGACCAGCCACCUCACUGGUCCUCUGUUGCCAGUAGAAAAAGCCCUACAAGGAUUAAUGCAAGAAGAAGUUCUGCUUUGGGGUUCUAUGAGGCUGAAAAUAUUGGAUCAGUAUUCCUGAGGAAUCUGCGUUUCAGAAUCCCAGGUCCGGAAGGACAAGAAGUACUUUGCAAACAAAUCAAAUGUACGUUUAGGAAGAUGAAAUCAUGCAACAGAAAGAUUUUUCAGAAUUUUUCAGCAACAGAUUUUACACACAAUUCAGAAGGAAGAAAGAACAGAUGAGUUUGGGAAUCAGGAGACCAGAUGUCAAGACUGGACUACAUCUUUAUAUUCAUUUCCAGAUUUAAAGUUCUAUGUUGUAUUUUAUUUGAUGCAAAGCAAUAAAAUAUUCCUCCCUCCUGUGACCACCG